UGGGGGAUAUUGCACAAUGGGCGAAAGCCUGAUGCAGCGACGCCGCGUGGGGGAUGAAGGCCUUCGGGUUGUAAACUUCUUUUGCUCUGAACAAGGCGCACCAUGGGGUGUGUUGAGUGUAGGGGUUGAUUAGCGCCGGCUAACUACGUGCCAGCAGCCGCGGUAAUACGUAGGGCGCGAGCGUAGUCCGGAAUUAUUGGGCGUAAAGGGCUUGUAGGUGGCUGGUUGCGUCUGUCGUGAAAGCUCAUGGCUUAACUGUGGGUUUGCGGUGGGUACGGGCUGGCUUGAGUGCAGUAGGGGAGGCUGGAAUUCCUGGUGUAGCGGUGGAAUGCGCAGAUAUCAGGAGGAAUACCGGUGGCGAAGGCGGGUCUCUGGGCUGUUACUGACACUGAGGAGCGAAAGCAUGGGGAGCGAACAGG
rnacentral:rRNA from 1 species